GUUCCUCCUCCCCUUUUUGUACGCAAAUUGCACUUUCUGGUAUUCCGGAACGUAUGCCUGUUUGAGGGUCCGUUAAAUAAAACUCUGUGUAGUUGCUGCUUUUCGUGGUGACGCGUCGGAAUUGAGUCGUCUUACCUUCGGUUAAGUGACUUAAAAUUUUUCAUGAUUUUCGAAUGUAUUUAAAUUUCUUACGUACGUUUGAGAUAUCGAAUACUUUAUUACGUUCUGUCAUCCUCCUGCUUCGCCCCUAUACUUGUUCCUUUAAUGACUUCAACUCAGGUCAC
rnacentral:misc_RNA from 1 species